UAUUUCGUGGUGGCCAGUUUGUAUUGAUGAAGAAAACCACCGAUCUUCGAUAGUAAAACUGACAAUCCUAGUCAAACUAGUGCAGCCGCACGAGCGGGGUUAGAACUAACAACCUCAGUGUUUGCUACUUUGUGAUUACAUUGGUAUUUACUUAGACCACUCGACCACCGAUGCCCCAAUAUCAAUGAUAAUCCAUGUCAAAGAUUAAAUAUCUUUAAUGAAUUUGAUGUUCUUGUAGACGUGAAGGAAUAUAAUUAUUACAGGUAUUUCAGCGACGGAGAGAUGGAUCGGUCAAUUUUACCAGAAACUGGAAGGAGUAUGAAGAGGGGUUCGGAGAUUUAGAUAACGAAUUUUGGCUAGG
rnacentral:lncRNA from 1 species